rnacentral:rRNA from 1 species
UACGGAGGGUGCAAGCGUUAAUCGGAAUUACUGGGCGUAAAGCGCACGCAGGCGGUUUAUUAAGUCAGAUGUGAAAGCCCCGGGCUUAACCUGGGAAAUGCAUCUGAAACUGGGAGGCUAGAGUCUUGUAGAGGGGGGUAGAAUUCCAUGUGUAGCGGUGAAAUGCGUAGAGAUUUGGAGGAAUACCGGUGGCGAAGGCGGCCCCCUGGACCAAGACUGACGCUCAGGUGCGAAAGCGUGGGGAGCAAACAGG